UCUCCCGUAAGGGAGCAGUCUCGCCUGACAAAUAUAACAGGCAACGGGGGUUGCGUUCGUUACCCCACUGAAGGGAACAGUUCAAACCACGAACUGACGACGGCCAUGCAUCACCUGCCCACCCGCCUUGCGGAGUCUAGGUUUCCCUUGAUGAUCGUGUGGGUUUCAAACCCUGGUGAGGUUCUUCGUUUAGCAUCGAAUUGAGCCGCAUGAUCCACCGCUUGUGCAAGUCCCCGUCUAUUCCUUUGAGUUUUAGCCUUGCGGCCGUACUACCCAGGCGCUGAACUUAACGCGUUAGCUUCGCCUCUCAGAGGGUCGAUACUCCGAAAAGCCAGUUCAGAACGUUUAGGGCGUGGACUAC
rnacentral:misc_RNA from 1 species